rnacentral:rRNA from 1 species
UACGUAGGGUGCAAGCGUUGUCCGGAAUUAUUGGGCGUAAAGAGCUCGUAGGCGGUUUGUCGCGUCGGCUGUGAAAACCUGGGGCUCAACCCCGGGCCUGCAGCCGAUACGGGCAAGCUAGAAUUCGGUAGGGGAGACGUGGAAUUCCUGGUGUAGCGGUGAAAUGACGCAGAUAUCAGGAGGAACACCGGUGGCGAAGGCGGGUCUCUGGGCCGAUAUUGACGCUGAGGAGCGAAAGCGUGGGGAGCAAACAGG